rnacentral:rRNA from 1 species
CCUACGGGAGGCAGCAGUGGGGAAUUUUGGACAAUGGGCGCAAGCCUGAUCCAGCCAUGCCGCGUGUGGGAAGAAGGCCUUCGGGUUGUAAACCACUUUUGUCAGGGAAGAAACGGUCUUUUCUAAUACAGAGGGCUAAUGACGGUACCUGAAGAAUAAGCACCGGCUAACUACGUGCCAGCAGCCGCGGUAAUACGUAGGGUGCAGGCGUUAAUCGGAAUUACUGGGCGUAAAGCGUGCGCAGGCGGCUUUGCAAGACAGGUGUGAAAUCCCCGGGCUCAACCUGGGAACUGCAUUUGUGACUGCAUGGCUAGAGUACGGUAGAGGGGGAUGGAAUUCCGCGUGUAGCAGUGAAAUGCGUAGAUAUGCGGAGGAACACCGAUGGCGAAGGCAAUCCCCUGGACCUGUACUGACGCUCAUGCACGAAAGCGUGGGGAGCAAACAGGAUUAGAUACCCUGGUAGUCCACGCCCUAAACGAUGUCAACUGGUUGUUGGACGGCUUGCUGUUCAGUAACGAAGCUAACGCGUGAGGUUGACCGCCUGGGGAGUACGGCCGCAAGGUUGAAACUCAAAUGAAUUGACGG